rnacentral:snRNA from 1 species
GGAUGUGAGGGUGAUCUGGCCGUGACAUCUGUCACCCCAUUGAUAUCCAGGGUUGAUUUGUCUGAUCUGGCUGGCGAGGCGCAUGUCCCCUUCCUCCCUUGCUGCUACAUGUGUGUCCUUCCCGAAGCUGCGUGCUAGGUCAAAGAGGACAGCUUCCCCGAAUAGAGACAUACAAGUCUUCAGUCGAAGGUAUACAAGUAGCUGCCUCCCCUGCUAGAACCUCCAAACAAGCUCUCCGAUGUCAGGCAGCCACAUCGUAGCUGAGUGCUUCGGGUGCUUGGUUUUAUAGUCUCUGGAUGUUAGCCACUGACAGGAUUACAGGACACUGGGGGCAGUUUCU